rnacentral:lncRNA from 1 species
CCCUGCCCCACCCUGACCACUGAAGUCGCAUCGUGCCUGGAGGAGCACGGGGGAGGAUUUGCUCCUGCUGGACGGCCCUGGCCUCUGCACACUCCCUGUGACAGCCGUUGAAGAGAAGGGCCAGCAGCGGGAAGAGUCAGGGUGAGCUGCUCAGACUCGCAGGACGUUCCAGAGAGCUCCCUGAGUCCCGCCCGGCAGCGUGGCUUCUGGUUCCACUGCUCCGUGAGAACGGGAACGAGGGUGCUGUCUUUUCUCCGGCAGUGGAACCUCAGUACCAGCGUCCUGCCACACGUACACCUGUCUUCUUAAUUGUCACUGCUGGUGUCCCUGCUUCUGAGGACACACCCUGCCUGUGGCGAGGGCAGCCAGCCUCUCCAGGGGCAGUGGUGAGCCCACCGUGGCUUCGAGCAUGAUUUUACCCUCCAGAGAAUUCUUUUUAAAGCCUUAAGUCCAUCGAUCAAGGCACAAACUGGAAAAGGCUGUGGAGAAGCCCCUUCAGGUGAGAAUCAAGGACAGGGACUGUUCCGGCCUGCCAGGUAACCUCCCGCUCUCCCUGCCUGAAUGGCCACCACUGGAAGAUAAGAAGUGCCGUUCCGAGUAGGGCCUGCUGGCUACCCUCCCACGUGUCCUGCAGAGGGGAUCCUAAGGAUCUCGGCUCUGGCUCAUGCGGCAGGGCUGACCACCUACACUUGCA